GUCUAGACGGAGCAACGCCGCGUGAGUGAUGAAGGUUUUCGGAUCGUAAAGCUCUGUUGUUAGGGAAGAACAAGUGCAAGAGUAACUGCUUGCACCUUGACGGUACCUAACCAGAAAGCCACGGCUAACUACGUGCCAGCAGCCGCGGUAAUACGUAGGUGGCAAGCGUUGUCCGGAAUUAUUGGGCGUAAAGGGCUCGCAGGCGGUUUCUUAAGUCUGAUGUGAAAGCCCCCGGCUCAACCGGGGAGGGUCAUUGGAAACUGGGAAACUUGAGUGCAGAAGAGGAGAGUGGAAUUCCACGUGUAGCGGUGAAAUGCGUAGAGAUGUGGAGGAACACCAGUGGCGAAGGCGACUCUCUGGUCUGUAACUGACGCUGAGGAGCGAAAGCGUGGGGAGCGAACAGGAUUAGAUACCCUGGUAGUCCACGCCGUAAACGAUGAGUGCUAAGUGUUAGGGGGUUUCCGCCCCUUAGUGCUGCAGCUAACGCAUUAAGCACUCCGCCUGGGGAGUACGGUCGCAAGACUGAAACUCAAAGGAAUUGACGGGGGCCCGCACAAGCGGUGGAGCAUGUGGUUUAAUUCGAAGCAACGCGAAGAACCUUACCAGGUCUUGACAUCCUCUGACAACCCUAGAGAUAGGGCUUUCCCUUCGGGGACAGAGUGACAGGUGGUGCAUGGUUGUCGUCAGCUCGUGUCGGGAG
rnacentral:rRNA from 1 species